GCCGAGGCAGGCGGCGUGCGGCAGCCGGCGCCGCGCGGAGCGAAGAGGCGGUAAAGAGAAGUAAGAGGGCUGCCCCGGCCCCCCGCUGCCCUCCGCAGGCCUUGCCCCGGCGCCCCUCGCCCGGCUGGGACGGCGGGCGAGGAAGAGGGGAGGCGCCCCCGGGUCUCCUGCGCCACCGGCCGCAGCCCGGGCCUAGCGGGGAGUGGGGCCCACCGUCGCCGGGUCGGCUGGCCAAGACCUGUCUGCUCGCGGGUCUCACCUUUCACAGCUGCUCUGGCCCCCCUCUGACGAUACUGAACGUACUUGGUUAGGUGGGAACCUGGGUACUGAGCCUGGGACAAACCAAGGAAGUGCAGGAGCAGAACUGCAGUCAUAUAAAGUCAUAAAGAAGUUUCAUCUUAAAUAAAGGUGUGUCUUAAGCCAUAGGCAGUUUCUGAGUGAGUUUUUUUUAGACCUCAGUUUCGGAUUUGGCCACCUAAAGUCUGUCUAAGCCCUCCUUUAGAUGCCAAAUUUGUUUUCUGGAUCUAGCCUCUAAUAGCAAACAGAGGAAACUAGUUUUUCCGUAGUUAUUUUCUUACUGACCAGGCUGAUGGUAUCUAAAUUACAUUUUUCACUACAGACUAUGGAAACUUUAUCUCUGGCUAUUAAGAAACUGUUCAGUCAAGUAAACUCUGUACCUGAAAGGAUCUACCAUCCAAACAGGGAAGAAAACAGCAAAAAUGUUAGACAGCUGCUUGAAGUCUAGCCUUUGGACGGACUGUAUGAACAUGCCUGGAAGUUUGUUAACGUAUGUAUCAUGCUCAGUAUAUUCAGAGUCGAGCUUGCCCUCAGAGCUGCUUUUCAGAUGUAUUCAGGAUAAUUAUCACAGCUUUGAUGUCUGCAUGAACUGCAACUCUGGUCUGGUGGACAACCUUCAAGUUGCCCUCCAAGAUCCUGUAGACAUAUCUUUUAC
rnacentral:lncRNA from 1 species